UACGUAGGCAGCGAGCGUUGUUCGGAGUUACUGGGCGUAAAGCGCGCGCAGGCGGCGGUGUUGGCCCGGCGUGAAAGCCCCCGGUUCAACCGGGAGAGUCGUCGGGGACCGCACCGCUUGAGGGCGGUAGGGGCUGGUGGAAUGCCUGGUGUAGUGGUGAAAUGCGUAGAGAUCAGGCAGAACACCUGGGGCGAAGGCGGCCAGCUGGGCCGUCCCUGACGCUGAGGCGCGCAAGGCGAUGGG
rnacentral:rRNA from 1 species